rnacentral:rRNA from 2 species
GGGUUGUGAGGUUAAGCGACUAAGCGUACACGGUGGAUGCCCUGGCAGUCAGAGGCGAUGAAGGACGUGCUAAUCUGCGAUAAGCGUCGGUAAGGUGAUAUGAACCGUUAUAACCGGCGAUUUCCGAAUGGGGAAACCCAGUGUGAUUCGUCACACUAUCGUUAACUGAAUACAUAGGUUAACGAAGCGAACCGGGGGAACUGAAACAUCUAAGUACCCCGAGGAAAAGAAAUCAACCGAGAUUCCCCCAGUAGCGGCGAGCGAACGGGGAGGAGCCCAGAGCCUGAAUCAGCAUGUGUGUUAGUGGAAGCGUCUGGAAAGGCGCGCGAUACAGGGUGACAGCCCCGUACACAAAAGCGCAUGUGCUGUGAGCUCGAUGAGUAGGGCGGGACACGUGGUAUCCUGUCUGAAUAUGGGGGGACCAUCCUCCAAGGCUAAAUACUCCUGACUGACCGAUAGUGAACCAGUACCGUGAGGGAAAGGCGAAAAGAACCCCGGCGAGGGGAGUGAAAAAGAACCUGAAACCGUGUACGUACAAGCAGUGGGAGCCCCACCACCAAAGCAUUCUCUGGUGUUGAAGGCCCUGCAAAGCAGCAUCGCGGUGGCGGAGCGUCGUUUGCGACGCCCAACACACAAAACAAGCGGUGAGUGCUUUGGGGUGGGGUGACUGCGUACCUUUUGUAUAAUGGGUCAGCGACUUAUAUUCUGUAGCAAGGUUAACCGUAUAGGGGAGCCGAAGGGAAACCGAGUCUUAACUGGGCGUUAAGUUGCAGGGUAUAGACCCGAAACCCGGUGAUCUAGCCAUGGGCAGGUUGAAGGUUGGGUAACACUAACUGGAGGACCGAACCGACUAAUGUUGAAAAAUUAGCGGAUGACUUGUGGCUGGGGGUGAAAGGCCAAUCAAACCGGGAGAUAGCUGGUUCUCCCCGAAAGCUAUUUAGGUAGCGCCUCGUGAACUCAUCUUCGGGGGUAGAGCACUGUUUCGGCUAGGGGGUCAUCCCGACUUACCAACCCGAUGCAAACUGCGAAUACCGAAGAAUGUUAUCACGGGAGACACACGGCGGGUGCUAACGUCCGUCGUGAAGAGGGAAACAACCCAGACCGCCAGCUAAGGUCCCAAAGUCACAGUUAAGUGGGAAACGAUGUGGGAAGGCUCAGACAGCCAGGAUGUUGGCUUAGAAGCAGCCAUCAUUUAAAGAAAGCGUAAUAGCUCACUGGUCGAGUCGGCCUGCGCGGAAGAUGUAACGGGGCUAAACUGUGCACCGAAGCUGCGGCAGCGACGCUUAUGCGUUGUUGGGUAGGGGAGCGUUCUGUAAGCCUGCGAAGGUGUCCUGUGAGGGAUGCUGGAGGUAUCAGAAGUGCGAAUGCUGACAUAAGUAACGAUAAUGCGGGUGAAAAGCCCGCUCGCCGGAAGACCAAGGGUUCCUGUCCAACGUUAAUCGGGGCAGGGUGAGUCGACCCCUAAGGCGAGGCCGAAAGGCGUAGUCGAUGGGAAACGGGUUAAUAUUCCCGUACUUGGUGUUACUGCGAAGGGGGGACGGAGAAGGCUAUGUUGGCCGGGCGACGGUUGUCCCGGUUUAAGCGUGUAGGCUGGUUUUCCAGGCAAAUCCGGAAAAUCAAG